GUACUGCUGGAGAGUCCCAUAAUAGGACGAAACGGCCGUCUAAUGC
rnacentral:hammerhead_ribozyme from 1 species